rnacentral:rRNA from 1 species
GAUGAACGCUGGCGGCGUGCCUAAUACAUGCAAGUCGAGCGAACAGACGAGGAGCUUGCUCCUCUGACGUUAGCGGCGGACGGGUGAGUAACACGUGGAUAACCUACCUAUAAGACUGGGAUAACUUCGGGAAACCGGAGCUAAUACCGGAUAAUAUAUUGAACCGCAUGGUUCAAUAGUGAAAGACGGUUUUGCUGUCACUUAUAGAUGGAUCCGCGCCGCAUUAGCUAGUUGGUAAGGUAACGGCUUACCAAGGCGACGAUGCGUAGCCGACCUGAAAGGGUGAUCGGCCACACUGGAACUGGGACACGGUCCAGACUCCUACGGGAGGCAGCAGUAGGGAAUCUUCCGCAAUGGGCGAAGGCCUGACGGAGCAACGCCGCGUGGGUGAUGAAGGUCUUCGGAUCGUAAGACUCUGUUAUUAGGGAGGAACAAAUGUGUAAGUAACUAUGCACGUCUUGACGGUACCUAAUCAGAAAGCCACGGCUAACUACGUG